GAUGAACGCUGGCGGCGUGCCUAAUACAUGCAGGUCGAGCGAACAGACGAGGAGCUUGCUCCUCUGACGUUAGCGGCGGACGGGUGAGUAGCACGUGGAUAACCUACCUAUAAGACUGGGAUAACUUCGGGACACCGGAGCUAAUACCGGAUAAUAUAUUGAACCGCAUGGUUCAAUAGUGAAAGACGGUUUUGCUGUCACUUAUAGAUGGAUCCGCGCCGCAUUAGCUAGUUGGUAAGGUAACGGCUUACCAAGGCAACGAUGCGUAGCCGACCUGAGAGGGUGAUCGGCCACACUGGAACUGAGACACGGUCCAGACUCCUACGGGAGGCAGCAGUAGGGAAUCUUCCGCAAUGGGCGAAAGCUUGACGGAGCAACGCCGCGUGAGUGAUGAAGGUCUUCGGAUCGUAAAACUCUGUUAUUAGGGAAGAACAAAUGUGUAAGUAACUAUGCACGUCUUGACGGUACCUAAUCAGAAAGCCACGGCUAACUACGUG
rnacentral:rRNA from 1 species